rnacentral:rRNA from 1 species
GCCCUCUUCGGGUGGAUUCGGUGCUGAAGCGAAGGCGAAGAGUGAGCUACCUGGGAAGUAUAGUCGCAAGAUCGAAACUUAAAGGAAUUGGCGGGGAGACAUACAACGAGUGACGCGUGCGGUUCAAUUAGAUUUUACACCGUGAACCUCACCAGGAGCGACAGCAGGAUGAAGGUCAGUCUAAAGGGCUUACCUGACACGCUGAGCGGAGAUGCAUGGCCGACGUCAGCCUGUGCUGUGAAGUGACCUGUUAAAUCAGGUAACAGGCGAGACCCGUAUCAUUAAUUACUACAGAAAUGGGUACCUUAAUGAGACUGCCUUGGUAACAAGGAGGAAGGUGCGGGCUACGUUAGGUGAGUACGUCCCUAAUCCCCUGGGCUACACGCGCGCGGCAAUGGUAUGUUCAAAUGGAUGCAACUCCGAGAGGAGAAGCUAAUCCCCUAACGCAUAUCUCAGUCCAGAUUGAGGGUUGCAACCCACCCUCAUGACGAUGGAAUUCGUAGUAAUCGGAUAUUAGCACUGUCCGGUGAAUACGUCCCUGUCUCUUGCACACACCGCCCGUCAAACCAACCGAGUUGUGGAGGGGUGAAGCCCUUUUUGGGAAGAACCUUUUCACGACAAGGUAGGUUAAGUCGUAACAAGGUAGCC